GUUUCGUAGUCCGGUAAAACUGAGAGUGAAAACUGAGUAAAACUGAGAACACAAUCAACAAAGGUUUGAUUUCAUUCCUUGCCGAACUUUAAAUGACAAAAAACUAACAUGAGCCAGCCUAAGGAAGAACCCGUCCUGGACCCGCAAUUUCUCGAUCUGGACAUCGUCGACGGUCCACUACAACAAUUGAUAAACGAAGAUCUACCUUGGCUGAGGGAUGAGACACCGCCGCCGUACUACAAUCUAACCCAGGAGGACUUUACCUCCAUCGCUAAGAAGACCGUCUGCAUGGGAACCCAGACUAAUGUUCUGGACUCUCAAGCUUCUCAAGCUUUGCAAACUUCAAAAACCAUCCAAAUAAGGUCGGGACGCCGUCAAGUAUCGAGGGGCACUCAAGUGCAACCGAUACAGGAGCUCAAUGCUGUAUGCCUCAAAUGCUUGCGAGAUAUAGUGGUGAUCAUCUCUCUUGGCUACACCUUUUAUAGCGCCCUAUGCUCCGCAACCUUUUUGUCGCUGGCGAAGUGAAUAACACAGUCAUUCCUGAUAAUGUGAGGCAGCUCCUGCCUCCCCAAUCCACACAAUGUUUUCUUUUUUUUUGUUACUUAUCAACGCAGUUCAGUUCCAGCUCAAAUUUCCAAGUCAUAGACCCACACGUAGUUAAGCGCCCAGUUAAACAGCAACGAGCUUUCAGCAUCCUUUUCCCAUUUCCCGUCACAAGUUUCCCAGGUCGAGUUUUCUGGUCCCAGUCCCAGUGCCUGGCGUUGUCCAGCGCCAUAAUAGAGCCCGGUCACGCGGAGAUUAGCCCGGUGCAAUCUGCUCCAGCGCCCCCGCCCUGACUGGACAUGACCAACAAUUUUUUGCACUUGGCGACGAGGAUGUUAGACUAAGACAACUACGGCGAUUCUGUAUGAUAUUGUCGCCUCCAUCCACCCGGUCAGCGAUCCGUUGUCAAAUAAAUGUCGAAUGGUGCAUCUUCAUGUGUUAAUUGUUA